AUUGAACGCUGGCGGCAGGCUUAACACAUGCAAGUCGAGCGAGCGGCGGACGGGUGAGUAAUGUCUGGGAAACUGCGUGAGGGAGGGGGAAACCUACUGGAAACGGUCGCUAAUACCGCAUACCAUGAGACGUGCCCAGAGGGGAUUAGCUAGUAGGUAGGGUAAUGGCUAACCUAGGCGACGAUCCCUAGCUGGUCAGAGAGGAUGACCAGCCACACUGGGACUGAGACACGGUCCAGACUCCUACGGGAGGCAGCAGUGGGGAAUAUUGCACAAUGGGCGCAAGCCUGAUGCAGCCAUGCCGCGUGUGUGAAGAAGGCCUUCGGGUUGUAAAGUACUUUCAGCGGGGAGGCGUUACCCGCAGAAGAAGCACCGGCUAACUCCGUGCCAGCAGCCGCGGUAAUAC
rnacentral:rRNA from 1 species